rnacentral:rRNA from 1 species
UACGUAGGGACCAAGCGUUGUUCGGAUUUACUGGGCGUAAAGGGCGCGUAGGCGGCGCGGUAAGUCACUUGUGAAAUCUCUGAGCUUAACUCAGAACGGCCAAGUGAUACUGCAGUGCUAGAGUGUGGAAGGGGCAAUCGGAAUUCUUGGUGUAGCGGUGAAAUGCGUAGAUAUCGGAAGGAACAUCAGUGGCGAAAGCGACUUCCUGGACCAAUACUGACGCUCAUGUGCGAAAGCGCGGGGAGCAAACAGG